rnacentral:rRNA from 1 species
CCUACGGGGGGCAGCAGUGGGGAAUAUUGGACAAUGGGGGGAACCCUGAUCCAGCCAUGCCGCGUGUGUGAAGAAGGCCCUCGGGUUGUAAAGCACUUUCAGUGAGGAAGAACGCCUGGUGGUUAAUACCCAUCAGGAAAGACAUCACUCACAGAAGAAGCACCGGCUAACUCCGUGCCAGCAGCCGCGGUAAUACGGAGGGUGCGAGCGUUAAUCGGAAUUACUGGGCGUAAAGCGCGCGUAGGUGGCUUGAUAAGCCGGUUGUGAAAGCCCCGGGCUCAACCUGGGAACGGCAUCCGGAACUGUCAAGCUAGAGUGCAGGAGAGGAAGGUAGAAUUCCCGGUGUAGCGGUGAAAUGCGUAGAGAUCGGGAGGAAUACCAGUGGCGAAGGCGGCCUUCUGGACUGACACUGACACUGAGGUGCGAAAGCGUGGGUAGCAAACCGGAUUAGAUACCCUAGUAGUC